CCGCGUUCGCGCGACUGGCGAGAAGAGAUGGGCCACCAUCGGGGAACGCGAACGACAGCUGCCGCUCGCCUGGGCCCCCCUU
rnacentral:ncRNA from 2 species